UUUGGUGAUUAUGAUAACAUAAGGGAAAAAAAAUGAUAUUACCUUAUUAUUAGUGUUGUCCAAAACUGGUGCCAGAAGACUCGGUAAGACCAGAGACGCAAACGUUAGUCAUCUUAAUCAGGCGUAAAGGGUGUGUAGGCUGCUUUAAAAGUUUAAAUCUUUUUAAUAGCUCUUUUGCCGUUGUCAUACCAUUAUUUUUUUGUUUUUGUUUUUUGUUUUAUAAAUAAUAAACAAAAAUGAAUAUAAAGGUAGUACAUUUUAUAAAUUUAAUUAAUUUAAUUAAUUUAAUUAAUUUAAUUUUAUAAUUAUAAAGGGGACAAAAAAGAUAUCCCGGUUUAAGUAAAAAGAAUAAAAUGAAUUAAAGCUAGGAUCAAAUUGAGGAUAAACCAAAUAAUACUUAGAGUAGGGCCGAUAUCCGCAGAUACUAAGGGGAAUACUAAAGGUGAAAGCUUUUUAUCUACUAUUGAUUGACGCUGAGAAACGAAGGUGAGAACAGGAAAUAGGAUUUGAUACCCAGAUACCUCUCACUGUCAACGAUGAAUGGUGGUUGUUAGUUUUAAUAAAAACUGGUAACGAUGUUAACACGAUAACCAUUCCGCCUUGCGAGUACGGUUGCAAAACUGAAACC
rnacentral:rRNA from 1 species